AGUGAAUUUCCACCUUCAGGUUCUUUUUUUAAUUUUAUUUUAUUUAUUUAUUUUUUUUUCUUUUUUCUCCCCAAAGCCCCCCAGUACAUAGUUGUAUAUUGUUCGUUGUGGGUCCUUCUAGUUGUGGUAUGUGGGAUGCCGCCUCAGCGUGGCUUGAUGAGCAGUGCCACAUUCGCGCCCAGGAUUCGAACCAACGAAACACUGGGCUGCCUGCAGUGGAGCGCGUGAACUUAACCACUCAGCCACGGGGCCGGCCCCCACCUUCAGGUUCUUAAACCCACUUUGGGGGCCCCUCUUCCCCUUGGUCAAUUUUCAGUCUUCCUUCUAGAAGGAGCUGAAAUGUCAGGUCCACUGUGAAGCCUUUCUAUUACCCUUUGCUCGUCCCCCUAUUUGCUGUAUUACAAUUUGUAUCUGUUUUCUGUGGUUGCUGCGACAAAUCACCACAAACCGGAUGGCUUAAAACAACACAAAUUUAUUCUCUCGUGGUUCUGGAGGCCGGAAGGUGAAAUCAGCAUCACUGGGCUGAAAUCAAGGUGUUCGCAGGGCCACACUCCUUCCAGAGGCUCUGGGGGGAGAUCCGUUCCUUGCCUCUUCCGGCUCUGGUGGCUGUCCCCAUUCCUGGGUUUGUGGCCGCACCACUCGAGUUUCUGCCUCGGUGAUACCAGGGCAGCCUCCUCAUCUGCCUGCGUUAAAUCUCUUCUCCCUCUCGCUUGUAAGGACACCUGUGACUGCACUGAGGGCCCACCUGGACAAUCCAGGCUAACCACGCCAUCUCAAGAGCCUCAAUUACCACAUCUGCAAGACCUUUGCAAACCACAGAAGGCAAGAUUUACAGCUGCCAGGAAUUAGGAACGAACGUUUUGGGAUGCCUUUAUAAGUGCUCGCAUGUAUGUUGGCCUCUUCACCUUUGUAUGACAAGGGUCCAUCAUGGAAUAAGCACAUAAUGUGUAAGCAAUAGAUGACAUGCAUACAGAGGUAGAGCGGCACGAGGUAUAGGGCCAUUGUUCACGCUCAUCUGCAUUCCUUCUUGGCUAAGGCUUUAUUUCCCCAGGCCAGAGCUAUUUCUUUCAUGUGCUAAUCUCUGGUUGGAAGGAUAUUUACUCAUAAAUCAGACUGACGUCUAGGUUAGAGAAAUUAGGCAAAGGGGGCCUUCAUCCUUAUAUUGCUUCUUCUGGGCUACAGUGAGGUGAAUUAACCAAAAAUCUCCAUUCAGACUCCAUCCCUUCCCAGCCCUGGGGCGGAAGGGAGUGGAAAAGGUGGAGGGGCUCUGGCAGCUGGAAGGCGACUUUCACGGAAUGUGAGAAUGUGGAGUGGCAGAGUGACAAGCAUGAGCUGCAUUAAGAGUACUGUCAUCGGUUUGCCCCAGCUGGUUUGUUGCCAUUCCUUGGCCGUUUAUUUUAAACACGGUUUUCUCCGUAAUUUAAGCUCCUAACUUCACGGCUGUUGCUUAACUUACCAUUUCCCCAGUUUGAGUCACCUGAGUUCACACAGGCAUUUUUCUGAAAUGAGGCUGUUUCUUUUCCAGUGUUCUUAAAUCCCAGUCACCUUUUCCCCCGAGAAUAAAUCUGUUUCAGCCGCGGCUCACCUGGAAAGACAACUCGGCAGCUAGGCUGUUAUUUCUCUUGGCUGUUGGAAAUCUUGAUGAAAGAGGAAAAAAUUAAUUGCAAUAAAAAAAGCAAAGAAGUAGGUUAUUUUGCACAAUUAAUCCUUGAAACAGUCAAUUGUUUACUGUAUUAUAAUUGUUUGUUUACUUCUAUGUCAGUCUUUCCAUCUUUGUGCUGGUUAGAUUCCCCCAGAAAUCAGGAAGUUAAAAAACUACAGAGCCCCCCCCAAUUUAUCCAAGAUUUGCCUAAGUAGGCAUGUGUCCAGAAACUUCUAAGGUUUGAGAAAAUUCUUUCGCUAACACAUAACAUCCAUCUGUAAUAAAACAUAAUUGUCAGAGUCUAUUUAGGUAGCAUGACUGGCAUAAAGCUCCUCUAACAUAAUAGUCUGGCACCUGUCAGAGGCUUUUUUGAACAGAGUAGACUCCUGAAGCCUGUCCAAUAAGACCUACUUACCUCCUAAAAUCAUCUCGAACAACACUCUCCCUCUAGCUCUGCUCCAGCUACUCUGUCUUUCAUAUGGGUCAUGCUUCUUCCUAUCAAUGGAACUUUGCACAUGCUGUUCCCUUUGCUUAGAAUGCUUGUGCCUCCUUGUCUUCUCUUGAUUAAGUGCUAGUCAUCCUUUAGAACUUAGUUCAGGCAUUAUUCUCACUGAAAAACUUUCUCAGACUAGGUCAAACCCCCAAAGCACUGCCUCAGCACUCAGACCACUGACGGUUUGUAUUUGUCUGUGUGAUUAUCUGAUAAAUGUCCACUUCAUCUGCCAGACUGCACAGAGCUCUGUGAGGGCAGGGAAUAAGUCAGUCUUUGCUACCAUGACAUCAGCAGCCCUUACGACUGUUGCCGGAACACAGUCAGCAUGUAACAAAUAUCUAAAUGUUGACUAUGUCGUGGAAUCUCCUGCUAGCUCUGCCAAUGGGUUAUUAGGCAAGUUACUUAACUCUACAGGGCCUCGCUCUCCUCUUUGGUAAAGAAAAUGCUUCUUUCAUUCCCCAAAUCCUAGGAUAUUUAUGCUUCCUGUCUUGAGUCUACAAGAUUGAUCAGGCUAAAGCUAGAAAGUUAGAAAGUCAACAUUAUCUGUUAUCGGCCUGCCGUGUAUCUCCUCACAUGGAAAAAUCAGAUGCCAAGCAAGAAAUUGGAAUUACCUUCAACAUCUUUGCCUCUUUCCCUCAUGCCACUGCCUUGAUUCCAGCUUUCUUCACCUCUCACUUAAAAUACUGCAGAUGCUCCCUUAACUGGUGGUCCUGGGUCCAGUGCUCUCCCCUUCCAGUCUAUCUGCAAAGCUGCCAAUAGAACUCGGUCUAAAACACUGGACCGAUCAAUUGUGGCACCCCUCUGCUUGAACGCUGUCAGUGACUCCCACAUCACCUCUGGGACAAAAUUCAUUUGUUGAGAAGAUGCCCUUCCACUGUUCCUGCCUCACCUCCUGACCGCUCCUUGAGAGCUCACGCUCCACUCAGAACGGCUCCAGGGGGCCCAACUACACAUGGUUCUUUCAAGUCCCUCUGUCUUUGCAUGCAGUUCCUUCCGUCUGGAAAACUGUUCUCCUUUCCUGCACUUGCCAGGUCCCGUCCAUCCUUAGGCUCAGCUCAAACGUUACUUGAAUGUGGCACCUGCCUUGAUCAAACUCUCAUUACCCAGGCUGAGCUUGUCACACACUGCCUGUGUUCCCACAGAACACUUUGUACAAGCCACUGUGAUGACACUUAUCUCAAUGAGCUGUAGUUGUCUGCAGAGGGACAUUUGGGUUAAGAGCAUGGGCCUCAAAUUCAGACUGAGUUGAGGUUGAAACCAAAUUCUGCAACUUACUGUGUGGCCUUGGAAAUCCUUCUUUCUGAGUUCUACUUUCCUGAUUUUGGAAAAUGGGAGACAGAACACCUGACUCCCUGGGCUGUUAUAAUCAUGGAUUAAAGGAGAUAAUGCACUUGGCACAAAGCCUGACCCAUAAUACUCAAUAACUAACGGUAAUGAUCAUUGGCUUGUCAACGUGUCAAAUGCAAAGAUCCAGGCUCACGUCUUGCCCAUCUUUCUAUCCCAGUGACUGGCACACAGUGGGUGCUCAGUGAAUGCUUCUUAAAAUGCAUAAACGAAAUAGUAUCCAUAAUGCAUUUUUCUUUACAGGAAGGCUAGAGGUUUAUUCAUUUUAGGAAUUUUAUUCAAGUGUCAAAAACUCUACAGAUCUUAUGACAUACUCCAAAUCACAUUCAGCUUUCCCUUUGCUAAACUAGCCUGCACUUAGACGUGUGACAGUUUCAGAUCAAACCUAGCUUUAAGUAUUAGCGUUUUCUGCUCAAUUCUCUCUUCACACUGAGUCUUCACUGUAUUCACAUCAGUUUCAGCCUUUACACAAUCCUCUGUGGAACCCAGAUUAUAUCCUUCUUCCUCAUGUGAGCAACACCCACAGCAUGCAUGUGUAUGGGACUUGGGUGCCAAACACUGUUCUAUGAGCUUUACGUGUUUUAAAUCCGCACCAUGACUCAUCAUAACCUAACUGACUUUUCUGAGAUGACAGUGAGCAAACCGAUUCAAACCACUACAAGUUCUAGCCUACUGUUCUGGCCACAGCCUGGCGUUGCCCGCAAGAAGCCUAAGUUCCUUGAAGGCAGUUGCCUCCAGUUUCCUCUCCAUGGUCCCUGUCCGUCCGCAGAGACACCCAGGGAGCUCGGCUCACUGUGUACUUCCUCUUCCGUCCACGUAAUUAACUUCUACCAGGGGCCAGAGGGAAGACUGUGUUCACACCGAGUACUCGAGAGACGCCCCAGGUUUAAAGCCUCACAAGGUUUAAAAACUUUGAACCUGGGGAAAGCACCCUUUAACUGUCAGCACAUCAAACUUUCCCACCGUGGUUUCUCUUCGGUGUUCCCCAUGACUCCUCCUAGGGUGUCCCAUCAGCACAUAAGAGCAGAAGGUUGAGAAGCAUCUUUGCCCCCUUCAAUUUACCCCGGGCGGGUCAUCCUAUGGGCCACGCCGACUGUCCAGGGGAGGCCUUGGAUACCUGUCCCCCUAGGCGACCCCAUCCCGCCCACGGGUGACGGGACGGCGUCCGGCUCUCCGUAGAGACGCCGCGGAGGCGCAGACGCCGGCUGCCCUCCUUCCAGGAGCCGCCAGGGCUGCAGCUUUGUCGCGACCACACCAGAAACGGCCCGGGGCGCGUGCGGAGCGGCCACCGAGGGUCCCGCGCGCCGGGCUGGGCGG
rnacentral:lncRNA from 1 species